UAAUGAAGCAUUCACAGAGGACGAGACCAGGCGUAAUCGCAAGAGGUGAAGUCAUAAUUACCCAGCAUUAUCUGUAAUCACACACCUUCACUGAGACAGGCAAGCAAGCAUGCACAGUCACAUGUACCGUAGGUCACAUACAACAUUGGAAACAGAAAACGAACAACAAUAUGAAACAGAAUAUAAUUUCCUGGGAUCCAAGCUGUAGGCGGAGUGUGUGUGUGUGUUAAUGAGUCAUUCACAGCGGACGAGACGAGGCGUAAUCACAGAGGUGAAGUCAUGAGAGAGAGAGAGAGAGAGAGAGAGAGAGAGAGAGAGAGAGAGAGAGAGAGAGAGAGAGAGAGAGAGAGAGAGAGAGAGAGAAGGGAAUGAACAAGGAGAGGGAGCAGGUAGAGAUCAGAGAGAAUGAACAAGGAGAGAAGGAGAGGGAGCAGGUAGAGAUCAGAGAGAAUGAACAAGGAGAGAAGGAGAGGGAGCAGGUAGAGAUCAGAGAGAAUGAACAAGGAGAGAAGGAGAGGGAGCAGGUAGAGAUCAGAGAGAAUGAACAAGGAGAGAAGGAGAGGGAGCAGGUAGAGAUCAGAGAAUCAACAAGGAGAGAAGGAGAGGGAGCAGGUAGAGAUCAGAGAAUCAACAAGGAGAGGAUGAAAGAGCAACAAGAUCUCAUGGUCUCACCAAUUUGACUUCAGAUUCUGACGUUUAACUUCUUACAUCUAGAUGUUCCGCUAGCGGAACGCCUCCCCAAUAUCCAAUGAUAGAGCGUGGCGCGAAUUACAAACUCCUCGAAAAUCCGAAAACUUCAAUUUUUCAAACAUAUGACUAUUUUACACCAUUUUAAAGACAAGACUCUCCUUUAUCUAACCACACUGUCCGAUUUCAAAAAGGCUUUACAACGAAAGCAAAACAUUAGAUUAUGUCAGGAGAGUACCCAGC
rnacentral:lncRNA from 1 species